rnacentral:rRNA from 1 species
AGAAUCAACGCUGGCGGCGUGCCUAACACAUGCAAGUCGAACGCGAAAGGGGCUUCGGCCCUGAGUAGAGUGGCGAACGGGUGAGUAACACGUGGGUGAUCUACCUUUGAGUGGGGGAUAACGUCCCGAAAGGGACGCUAAUACCGCAUGACGUUCUGGGUUUAAAGACCUGGAAACCAAAGCCGGGGACCGCAAGGCCUGGCGCUUGAAGAGGAGCCCGCGUCCGAUUAGCUAGUUGGCGGGUAACGGCCCACCAAGGCGACGAUC